rnacentral:rRNA from 1 species
UUAUACGGCGAAACUGCGAAUGGCUCAUUAAAUCAGUUAUCGUUUAUUUGAUAGUACCUUACUACUUGGAUACCUGUGGUAAUUCUAGAGCUAAUACAUGCUAAAAAUCCCGACUCACGGAGGGAUGUAUUUAUUAGAUUAAAAACCAAUGCCCUUCGGGGCUUUCUGGUGAUUCAUAAUAACUUCUCGAAUCGCAUGGCCUUGCGCCGGCGAUGGUUCAUUCAAAUUUCUGCCCUAUCAACUUUCGAUGGCAGGGUCUUGGCCUGCCAUGGUUACAACGGGUAACGGAGGGUUAGGGCUCGACCCCGGAGAAGGAGCCUGAGAAACGGCUACUACAUCCAAGGAAGGCAGCAGGCGCGCAAAUUACCCAAUCCCGAUACGGGGAGGUAGUGACAAUAAAUACUGAUACAGGGCUCUUUUGGGUCUUGUAAUUGGAAUGAGUACAAUUUAAAUCCCUUAACGAGGAACAAUUGGAGGGCAAGUCUGGUGCCAGCAGCCGCGGUAAUUCCAGCUCCAAUAGCGUAUAUUAAAGUUGUUGCAGUUAAAAAGCUCGUAGUUGAACCUUGGGCCUGGCUGGCCGGUCCGCCUCACCGCGUGCACUGGUUCGGCCGGGCCUUUCCCUCUGGGGAGCCCCAUGCCCUUCACUGGGUGUGGUGGGGAACCAGGACUUUUACUGUGAAAAAAUUAGAGUGUUCAAAGCAGGCCUAUGCUCGAAUACAUCAGCAUGGAAUAAUAGAAUAGGACGUGUGGUUCUAUUUUGUUGGUUUCUAGG